CAGCACGCGCCUAACGGCGUG
rnacentral:snRNA from 1 species